AGCGGUUGUUCGGAAUUAUUGGGCGUAAAGCGCGUGUAGGCGGUUUGUUAAGUCUGAUGUGAAAGCCCUGGGGCUCAACCCAGGAAGUGCAUUGGAUACUGGCAGACUUGAAUACGGGAGAGGGCAGUGGAAUUCCUGGUGUAGGAGUGAAAUCCGUAGAUAUCAGGAGGAACACCGGUGGCGAAGGCGGCUGCCUGGACCGAUAUUGACGCUGAGACGCGAAAGCGUGGGUAGC
rnacentral:rRNA from 1 species